CGAUGAAGGUGGCAUGGUAGUGUACACAGAAAUCAAUUUUUUAAUUAAAUGGGUCUUUGCAUGUCUGCCCCUGAUGAUGCCUUUAUUUUUGUCUUUGAGGCUUUGAUUUUGGGGGCCUGGUUAUGACCUACAGAC